AGCCAAGUGUGGCUUUGUGUAGCGGCCAAUGAGGUUUAUUUGAGACGGGAUUACUGCUAAUUGAAAACUUUUCCCAAUACCCCGCCAUGAUGACUGGCAAUAUAGUCAGCGUUGGCAAUUUUUGGCAGUCUCUACAGAGA
ensembl:snRNA U4 U4 spliceosomal RNA